rnacentral:rRNA from 1 species
CCAAUAGCGUAUAUUAAAGUUGUUGCAGUUAAAAAGCUCGUAGUUGAAUUUCGGAAUUCUUUUAUCGGUUGAAUCAACAGGUUCGUACUGAUUUUAAGAAUUUCUACCUUCUGGAGAACCUUAAUGUCAUUAAUUUGGUGUUUUGGGAAACCAGGACUGUUACCUUGAAAAAAUUAGAGUGUUUAAAGCAGGCUUACGUCUGAAUAUAUUAGCAUGGAAUAAUGAAAUAGGACGGCAUGGUUCUAUUUUGUUGGUUUCUAGGAUCACCGUAAUGAUUAAUAGGGAUAGUUGGGGGCAUUAGUAUUCAAUUGUCAGAGGUGAAAUUCUUGGAUUUAUUGAAGACUAACUUCUGCGAAAGCAUUUGCCAAGGAUGUUUUCAUUAAUCAAGAACGAAAGUUAGGGGAUCGAAGACGAUCAGAUACCGUCGUAGUCUUAACCAUAAACUAUGCCGACUAGGAAUCGGACGAAGUUAAUUUUUUAAUGACUCGUUCGGCGCCUUACG